rnacentral:rRNA from 1 species
CCUGCAGUUCAAACUGGGCCAUGCAUCUGAAGCUAACCAGGUUUAAGCCUGGUCAGUACUUGGAUGGAAGAUCAAUUAAGAAAGCUGGGUUACUGCUGGA